rnacentral:rRNA from 1 species
GACGAACGCUGGCGGCGUGCUUAACACAUGCAAGUCGAACGGAAAGGCCCUGCUUUUGUGGGGUGCUCGAGUGGCAAACGGGUGAGUAACACGUGAGUAACCUGCCCUUGACUUUGGGAUAACUUCAGGAAACUGGGGCUAAUACCGGAUAGGAGCUCCUGCUGCAUGGUGGGGGUUGGAAAGUUUCGGCGGUUGGGGAUGGACUCGCGGCUUAUCAGCUUGUUGGUGGGGUAGUGGCUUACCAAGGCUUCGACGGGUAGCCGGCCUGAGAGGGUGACCGGCCACAUUGGGACUGAGAUACGGCCCAGACUCCUACGGGAGGCAGCAGUGGGGAAUAUUGCACAAUGGGCGGAAGCCUGAUGCAGCAACGCCGCGUGCGGGAUGACGGCCUUCGGGUUGUAAACCGCUUUCGCCUGUGACGAAGCGUGAGUGACGGUAAUGGGUAAAGAAGCACCGGCUAACUACGUG